AUUGAACGCUGGCGGCAUGCUUUACACAUGCAAGUCGAACGGCAGCGCGGGGCAACCUGGCGGCGAGUGGCGAACGGGUGAGUAAUAUAUCGGAACGUACCCAAGAGUGGGGGAUAACGUAGCGAAGUUACGCUAAUACCGCAUACGGUCUAAGGAUGAAGCAGGGACGGCAGCCUUGUGCUCCUGGAGCGGCCGAUAUCUGAUUAGCUAGUUGGUGAGGUAAAGGCNCACCAAGGCGACGAUCAGUAGCUGGUCUGAGAGGACGACCAGCCACACUGGAACUGAGACACGGUCCAGACUCCUACGGGAGGCAGCAGUGGGGAAUAUUGCGCAAUGGGCGGAAGCCUGACGCAGCGACGCCGCGUGGGGGAUGACGGCCUGG
rnacentral:rRNA from 1 species